AUGAGAUGUAUAUACAUAAUGGUAAAUGAAGUUAUGGUAUGCAACAAUCAUGGGGUUGACAAUACCUCACUUGACAGUUGUAUACUACUAGGAAGCCCCAUAUCUACUUUGUGCAAGUCUCAAAAUGAUACAAAAAAUGCUUCUAGCUGCAAUUUGGGUCCUUCGUUGAUGAUGAAUAGAAAGCCCUCAAAGUUCUACAACCAAAUUGAUUAA